GACACAUAAGUAACACCGUACUUAGGUGACAAUAUAGUGCAUCAUUUGAAACAACAAUCUAACCUGCCUUCAUGUAGUUUUUGCUUUUCCCAGGUAAUGAAAGUGCAAUUCAUGUCUUGUAGCUGAGGGAACCAUAUCAUGGAUGACUAGUUUUACACUAGCUUUCAACUACCAAAUGCAACCCUCCUGUUUUAUUUAGACUUGGGACUCUGGAAAUAGUCAAGAUGGAAGUGCAACACGCACGAAUAUGCUUUGUUGCAGAUUAUCCUGCCAAAUUAAAACAAUGCCCCUGGUACUUUCAACAUGCUGCUGGUCCUCUGAUUAUACUUUCCAGGAAUUUGGCUCAGUACAUUCACGUAAACAGCGCAUCUCUAAAGACUUAUGCUCAUGAUGAUGUAUCAUUGGGUUCAUGGAUGAUGGGUCUCCAAGCAACAUAACUGAUGAAUGUUCGUCUGUGCUGUGGCAGCUCCAGAAAAGAUAAGGUGUGUGGCGUGGCUUAUUAGUGGAGAUUGUUUCUUUAAAUCGGUACUAACGGCUAAUGCUUCCGACUUUCUUGGCUGGCCGUUUAUGUUGGCCAUUUGGGGAGUCCUGUGGGGUUGCUAACAUUGCCAGCAGAACAUGUUUUGUGCGUGUGCAUUUGUUUUGUUGCAUUUUGAGUUGCAGUGAGGGAUCUCUAUGAAGCAUCAGAUGAGUUCACUGAAAAUUGGCGACGAGUUUUCUUUUCCCCCGUCACUGAGAUAGAUACACAGGGAAAACAAGAAAAACAAUAUAUCAUGAUUUUGCAGACAAAUGUUGUGGGAGGUUUGAUAUAUUGUAAUUGGGCGUUUGUCUUUUUUAUCCUUUUUCCUAGUGAAUAAUUUUGUUUAUGAAAGUUCUCUUUUGUUUCCAUGAGAAAGGGAAAUGUAAUGGAAUACAUUGGGAACAUUCAAAUU